GCUCCUGUAGCUCAGUGGCGUAGAGCGGUCGCACUAGGAGCGAUGCGUCGCAGGUUCAAAUCCUGCCGCGCGGGGGCA